CGUUUGGUACGUUAUUGUCUGCAGUCGAACGGUCUCUAACGGAGGCAGUGGCAGACGGGUGAGUAAUGCAUGGGAAUCUACCGUUCUCUACGGAAUAACUCACGGAAACUUGUGCUAAUACCGUAUACGCCCUUUUGGGGAAAGAUUUAUCGGAGAAUGAUGAGCCCAUGUUGGAUUAGCUAGUUGGUAGGGUAAAGGCCUACCAAGGCGACGAUCCAUAGCUGGUCUGAGAGGAUGAUCAGCCACGAACUGGGACUGAGACACAGGGCCCAGAUCUGCCUACCGGGAGGCGAGCACGUGCGGGAAUAUUCGGCACAAUGGGGCGCAGAGCCUGACUCCCAGCCAGUGCCGGCGUGAGUAAGAUGAAGCGCCCUAGGGGUAUGUAAAGUCUCUUUCUCACCGGUGAAGAUAAAUGACGGUAACCCGGGAGAAGAAGCCCCGGGCUAAACUUCGUGCCAGCGAGCCGGCGGUUAAUACGAAGGGGGCUAGCGUUGUUUCGUGAUUUACUGGGCGUAAAGCGCACGUAGGCGGACUUUUAAUGUCAGGGGUGAAAUCCCGGGUGCUCAACCCCGGAACUGCCUUUGAUACUGGAAGUCUUGAGUAUGGAAGAGGUAUGUGGAAUUGCGAGUGUAGAGGUGAAAUUCGUAGAAUAUUCGCAAGAACACCAGUGGGCGAAGGCGGGCUUACUGGUCCCAUUACUGACGCUGAGGUGCGAAAGCGUGGGGAGCAAAACAGGAUUAGAUACCCUGGUAGUCCACUGCCGUAAACGAUGAAUGUUAGCCGUCGGGGGUGUUUUACACUUCGGUGGCGCAGCUAACGCAUUAAACAUUCCGCCUGGGGAGUACGGUCGCAUGAUUAAAAACUCAUAAGAAUUGACGGGGGCCCGCACAAACAGUGGAGCAUGUGGUUUAUUUCUAAGCAACGCGCAGAACCAUACUAGCUCUUGACAUGCCUAUGAAUGUUAAUGGAGACACUUUCAUCCUUUCGUGGCGUAGGACACAGGAGCGGCAUGGCUGUCGUCAGCUCGUGUCGUGAGAUAUUAGGUUAAGUCCCACAACGAGCGCCACGCUCACCUUAUUCCAUCGUUAUGAUCUCUUAACGAUGCGUGUAACUGAAGGUGAAAAGUGAUCUGGCCUAACGUGGUGCGCUUCAGGAAUGUGUGCAUGACGAUACAGGUCACGUAUCGGCCCUUACGGGCUGGGCUACACACGUGCUACAAUGGUGGUGACAGUGGGCAGAGAGAUCGCGAGGUCGAGCUAAUCUCCAAAAACCAUCUCAGUUCGGAUUGCACUCUGCAACUCGAGUGCAUGAAGUUGGAAUCGCUAGUAAUCGCGGAUCAGAAUGCCGCGGUGAAUACGUUCCCGGGCCUUGUACACACCGCCCGUCACACCAUGGGAGUUGUUUUUACCCGAAGGCGAUCGCUAAUAGCGUAGGCCCCAGGCGAACAGAGAGUCGAAUAGAUUGACUGUA
rnacentral:rRNA from 1 species